CCUCGCAAAGCCGGCUCCGGGCACAUGUCAUGGGGGUUAACAGUUGUCAAUAUCAUCCAACCAGGGUAGUUUGGAAUACCAGACAGCGUCGUUGGCUCCCCUUGUGACGGUGGUGCACUUCUCCGAGGGUGUUGGAGUCAGCAGCAGUUGUAGGUUGCAUAAAAAUGAGAGAAAAGCAUUUAGUAUACUGAUAUCCUGGAGCAGAGGGAUAACAGGGUGUACGGUGGAAUUUCGGAAGAAACGGUAUUGUGGGAUACUUACCCACUGGAUGACAAUCAGACGGUCCUGCUUGGUGGUAAUAAAAGCUGCACAGAACAAACCAAACUGUACGGAAGAGAUUCUUCCAACACUGGCAGACCAGGUUAGAUCUAUCGGUUAUGGUGGAAUCGCGGAAAUAUAGGUCAUAAACAACGGGUGAAAUUACUUUCACAACGGUAUACGGACCAGAGAACUUCGGAGCCAACUUGGCUGCAAAGCUAUCAACGGCGGAUGACAACGGAUUAGCGCGGUGCAGAACUCAAUCACCGACAUAAAAACGAACUUCUCUUCGACGGAGGUUGUAAUGGUGAGCUUGUUGCUCAAAUGCACGGUACAACCUGGUAUUGACAAACUCAUAGGCCUCAUGAAGAUGACGGAUUUGUUCUGUACGG